GUCCCUUUGGAAACAUCCAAUAAAAUUGAAACGAUAUAGACAAUAUUAGUUUGGCCACUGCACAAAGAUGACACACAAACGGAAAUUUUUAUUUCU
rnacentral:snRNA from 1 species